rnacentral:misc_RNA from 1 species
UUUCCGUAGGUGAACCUGCGGAAGGAUCAUUCUCGAAUUUCGAGGGGAAGGAAGAUGAGGAGUGGAGACUGUCGUUGGCUUUCCCGCCUGGGAAGCAUGUGCACGCCUUGCUUUUCGUUGACCUUUCUCUUACUCUCACACCUGUGCACCCAUUGCAGGUCCUCGAAAGAGGAUCUAUGUUUUUAUCAUCACACGCAUCGUAUGUCCAUAGAAUGUAACAUGAUCGUCGAUCGACCUCGCGGUCGGGUGGCGGUCUAAAUAAAUAGAUACAACUUUCAGCAACGGAUCUCUUGGCUCUC